AACGAACGCUGGCGGCAGGCCUAACACAUGCAAGUCGAGCGAGGUAGCAAUACCUAGCGGCGGACGGGUGAGUAACGCGUGGGAACGUGCCCCUUGGUACGGAAUAGCCCCGGGAAACUGGGAGUAAUACCGUAUGAGCUCUACGGAGGAAAGAUUUAUCGCCAAGGGAUCGGCCCGCGUUGGAUUAGGUAGUUGGUGGGGUAAUGGCCUACCAAGCCGACGAUCCAUAGCUGGUUUGAGAGGAUGAUCAGCCACACUGGGACUGAGACACGGCCCAGACUCCUACGGGAGGCAGCAGUGGGGAAUCUUAGACAAUGGGCGCAAGCCUGAUCUAGCCAUGCCGCGUGAGCGAUGAAGGCCUUAGGGUUGUAAAGCUCUUUCAGCUGGGAAGAUAAUGACUGUACCAGCAGAAGAAGCCCCGGCUAACUCCGUGCCAGCAGCCGCCGUAACAC
rnacentral:rRNA from 1 species